rnacentral:rRNA from 1 species
AUUGAACGCUGGCGGCAGGCUUAACACAUGCAAGUCGAGCGGGGGAAGGUAGCUUGCUACUGGACCUAGCGGCGGACGGGUGAGUAAUGCUUAGGAAUCUGCCUAUUAGUGGGGGACAACAUCUCGAAAGGGAUGCUAAUACCGCAUACGUCCUACGGGAGAAAGCAGGGGAUCACUUGUGACCUUGCGCUAAUAGAUGAGCCUAAGUCGGAUUAGCUAGUUGGUGGGGUAAAGGCCUACCAAGGCGACGAUCUGUAGCGGGUCUGAGAGGAUGAUCCGCCACACUGGGACUGAGACACGGCCCAGACUCCUGCGGGAGGCAGCAGUGGGGAAUAUUGGACAAUGGGGGGAACCCUGAUCCAGCCAUGCCGCGUGUGUGGAGAAGGCCUUAUGGUUGUAAAGCACUUUAAGCGAGGAGGAGGCUCUUUUGGUUAAUACCCAAGAUGAGUGGACGUUACUCGCAGAAUAAGCACCGGCUAACUCUGUGCCAGCAGCCGCGGUAA